rnacentral:rRNA from 1 species
AUUGAACGCUGGCGGCGUGCCUAACACAUGCAAGUCGAGCGGUAACAGGUGUAGCAAUACAUGCUGACGAGCGGCGAACGGGUGAGUAAUGCUUUGGAAUCUUCCCAGUAGUGGGGAAUAACCAGUCGAAAGAUUGGCUAAUACCGCAUACGUCUGUAAAGGGAAAGCGGGGGCUCGUAAGACCUCGCGCUAUUGGAUGAGCCAAAGUCGGAUUAGCUAGUUGGGGGGUAAUGGCCUACCAAGGCGACAAUCCGUAGCUGGUCUGAGAGGACGACCAGCCACACCGGAACUGAGACACGGUCCGGACUCCUACGGGAGGCAGCAGUGGGGAAUAUUGGACAAUGGGGGAAACCCUGAUCCAGCGACGCCGCGUGUGUGAAGAAGGCCUGCGGG